UACGUAGGGCCCAAGCGUUGUUCGGAUUUACUGGGCGUAAAGAGCGCGUAGGCGGCUUAACAAGUCACUUGUGAAAUCUCCGGGCUUAACUCGGAACGGCCAAGUGAAACUGUCAAGCUAGAGUGCAGAAGGGGCAAUCGGAAUUCUUGGUGUAGCGGUGAAAUGCGUAGAUAUCAAGAGGAACACCGGCGGCGAAGGCGGGUUGCUGGGCCGACACUGACGCUGAGGCGCGAAAGCUAGGGGAGCGAACGGG
rnacentral:rRNA from 1 species